rnacentral:rRNA from 1 species
GAUCAUGGCUCAGAUUGAACGCUGGCGGCAGGCUUAAUACAUGCAAGUCGAACGGUAACAGCAGAAAGCUUGCUUUUUGGCUGACGAGUGGCGGACGGGUGAGUAAUACCUAGGAAACUGCCUAAACGAGGGGGGAUAACAUUUGGAAACGAGUGCUAAUACCGCAUAAUACUGAGAAGUCAAAGGUUGGUUUACCAAUCGCGUUUAGAUGUGCCUAGGAGGGAUUAGCUAGUUGGUGGGGUAAAGGCCUACCAAGGCGAUGAUCUCUAGCUGGUCUGAGAGGAUGACCAGCCACACUGGAACUGAGACACGGUCCAGACUCCUACGGGAGGCAGCAGUAGGGAAUAUUGCACAAUGGGGGGAACCCUGAUGCAGCCAUGCCGCGUGUGUGAAGAAGGCCUUCGGGUUGUAAAGCACUUUCAGUUUGGAGGAAGGUAUUUGAGUUAAUAGCUUAGAUAUUUGACGUUACAAACAGAAGAAGCACCGGCUAACUCCGUG